GCGCAAAGCGCCAGGAACCCCCCCUACUGCCCGCCCCGCGCUGGCGAAGCGCGACCCGUCCCGCCCCGCCCCGCCCUCGGCACAGCGUCAGAGGCGGGGACGCGCGCUGGUCUAUUUUUGGGCAUCCGGAUGGCGACUGCGGGAAAUCGAGUUCUCAUGCUGGGGCGAAAGGACCGUCCGCCCGCUCGGAAGAGGCGAAUCUCCCACGGCAGACGUCUGGGUGUGCGAAUGCCAGUUGAGCGGGGCCUCGAGGACGCGUCACACACAGCGAGGAUUUGAGGAGGGAAGCGCCUUCCAGGAAAAGAAAAUUUGGACAUAGACUCAUACAGAGGAAAGAUGAUGUGAGGACAGACAUCUAAGCCACGGAGCAAGGCCCUUCCCUCACAGCUCUCAGAAGGAACCAAACCUGUUGACAUCUGUUUUUUUUUUUUUGAGAUGGAGUCUAGCUCUGUCGCCCAGGCUGGAGUGCAGUAGCACGAUCUCAGCUCACUGCAGCCUCCGCCUCCCAGGUUCAAGCAAUUCUCCUGCCUCAGCCUCCCGAGUAGCUGGGAUUACAGGCACCCGCCACCACGCCCGGCUAAUUUUUAUAUUUUUAGUAGAGACAGGGUUUCACCACGUUGGCCAGGCUGGUCUCGAACUCCUGACUUCAAGUGAUCUGCUCUCCUUGGCCUCCCAAAGUGCUGGGAUCACAGGCGUGAGCCACUGCACCCGGCCCCUGUUGACAUCUUGAUCUCAGACUUCACCCGGCCCCCGAUGACAUCUUGAUCUCAGACUUCUGGUCUCCAGAAUGGUGGGAAAAUAAAUUGCUGUUUAAUCUACCCAGUCUGUGGUUCUUUAUUAUAGCAGCCCUAGCAAACUAAUACUAAGGCUCUAACCUUUAUCUCCCUCCCCUCUCUUAUUAUUCCCUAAGAGGAAGUCCAAACUGCAAUAGGCAAAGAUUCUUAAUGGACCUUGCAUGCCUUGUUUAGCCUGCUCUCAAAAUGCAGUAAUCUCCUG
rnacentral:lncRNA from 1 species